rnacentral:rRNA from 1 species
GACAGAGGGGGCAAGCGUUGCUCGGAAUCACUGGGCUUAAAGGGCGCGUAGGCGGGUCGGUCAGUCAGGGGUGAAAGCCCACGGCCCAACCGUGGAAGUGCCUUUGAUACUACCGGCCUCGAGGGGGAUAGGGGCGUGCGGAACUCAGGGUGGAGCGGUGAAAUGCGUAGAUAUCCUGAGGAACACCGGUGGCGAAGGCGGGUCUCUGGGCAUCUCCUGACGCUGAGGCGCGAAAGCGUGGGGAGCAAACGGG